UACGAAGGGGGCUAGCGUUGUUCGGAAUUACUGGGCGUAAAGCGCACGUAGGCGGAUGUGUCAGUCAGGGGUGAAAUCCCGGAGCUCAACUUCGGAACUGCCCUUGAUACAGCACGUCUUGAGUCCGGAAGAGGAGAGUGGAAUUCCUGGUGUAGCGGUGAAAUGCGCAGAUAUCAGGAAGAACACCCGUGGCGAAGGCGGCUCUCUGGGACGGUACUGACGCUGAGACGCGAAAGCGUGGGGAGCGAACAGG
rnacentral:rRNA from 1 species